AGCUGAUGCAUCUUUGGUGGCGAUUUUCCUCCCAGUGCCACCGCAGCAGCUGUUCCCCUCUGGAGGUUGAAUAACCUUCAUAAUUUUAAAGGGCCCAAGUUUACUUGCGGCCCUCUUUU
rnacentral:sRNA from 1 species